rnacentral:rRNA from 1 species
UACGUAGGCAGCGAGCGUUGUUCGGAGUUACUGGGCGUAAAGGGUGUGUAGGCGGCUAUUUAAGUUUGGUGUGAAAUCUCCCGGCUCAACUGGGAGGGUGCGCCGAAUACUGAGUGACUAGAGUGCGGGAGAGGAAAGUGGAAUUCCUGGUGUAGCGGUGAAAUGCGUAGAUAUCAGGAGGAACACUGGUGGUGUAGACGGCUUUCUGGACCGUAACUGACGCUGAGACACGAAAGCGUGGGUAGCAAACAGG